rnacentral:rRNA from 1 species
AGCAGCCGCGGUAAUUCCAGCUCCAAUAGCGUAUAUUAAAGUUGCUGCAGUUAAAAAGCUCGUAGUUGAAUUUCGGGACCAAUAUGUCGGUCGUGCUUCGGUACGUACUGUCAUUAUUGGUUUCUCCCUUCUGAAGAACCUUGAUGUCAUUAAUUUGGUGUCUUGGGGAAUCAGGACUGUUACUUUGAAAAAAUUAGAGUGUUUAAAGCAGGCUCGCGCUUGAAUACAUUAGCAUGGAAUAAUGAAAUAGGACGUUUGAUUCUAUUUUGUUGGUUUCUAGGAUCGACGUAAUGAUUAAUAGGGAUAGUUGGGGGCAUUAGUAUUCAAUUGUCAGAGGUGAAAUUCUUGGAUUUAUUGAAGACUAACUACUGCGAAAGCAUUUGCCAAGGAUGUUUUCAUUAAUCAAGAACGAAAGUUAGGGGAUCGAAGACGAUCAGAUACCGUCGUAGUCUUAACCAUAAACUAUGCCGACUAGGGAUCGGAUGA